rnacentral:rRNA from 1 species
UUGAGAGCUUGCUUUUAACACUUAGUGGCGGACGGGUGAGUAAUGUAUGAGCAACCUGCCUUUCAGAGGGGGACAACAGUUGGAAACGACUGCUAAUACCGCAUAAGCCCACGGUGCUGCAUGGCACUGCGGGAAAAGGAUUUAUUCGCUCUAGGAUGGACUCGCGUCCAAUUAGCUAGUUAGUGAGGUAACGGCCCACCAAGGCGACGAUCAGUAGCCGGACUGAGAGGUUGACCGGCCACAUUGGGACUGAGAUACGGCCCAGACUCC